UCCUCCUCAGGCUUGAAGAGAUUUCAGGAGCGGUGACUCUCAUCUGCUCGAAGAUGAGCCCACUGUGGACCUUCCUCUUCGUGCUGUCAGCUCCCAGCGGGGUCCUGUCCCAGGUGCAGCUGCAGGAGUCGGGACCCAGCCUGGUGAAGCCCUCACAGACCCUCUCCCUCACCUGCGCUGUCUCUGGAUUCUCACUAAGCAGCUAUGCUGUAGGCUGGGUCCGCCAGGCUCCAGGGAAGGCGCUGGAGUGGGUUGGUGCAAUAAGUAGUGGUGGAAGCACAUGCUAUAACCCAGCCCUGAAAUCCCGGCUCAGCAUCACCAGCGACACCUCCAAGAGCCAAGUCUCUCUCUCACUGAGCAGCAUGACACCUGAGGACACGGCCGUGUAUUACUGUGCAAAGGACACAGACAAGGGGCGACGUUCGUCUUCUGGCUACUUCCUGCUGAAUGGGGGCAACGUGGGGGUCAGGGCCGGUUGGGACGAAAGAGGCAGCCGGAGGUCUCGAGAGAGACUGGGGGUUACUCAGCCGAUUAGGACGUCUCCGGCACGAGCUGAGAACCGGGAGGAGGCACAGCUGCGGGAUGAGGGCCUGAUAAGUGCAGCUGGUGCGGUCGGGGCUGAGCUGAGGAAGCCUGGGGCAUCAGUGAAGGUCUCCUGCAUGGCUUCUGGAUACACCUUCAGCGACUACGACAUGCACUGGGGGUGA